rnacentral:snoRNA from 1 species
AGGGCCAGUGAGGAACAUGUGUUAUGAACCAGAGGUAAUGAUUACUCCAGUUAUACCCAAAUGUUGUCCAGA